rnacentral:rRNA from 1 species
AGAGUUUGAUCCUGGCUCAGAUUGAACGCUGGCGGCAUGGCUAAAACAUGCAAGUCGAGCGCGAAAUCCACUUCGGUGGAGAGUAGAGCGGCGAAAGGGCGAGGAAUACGUUCCUAUGUACCCCGAGGUCAGGGAUAGCCCAGGGAAACUUGGACUAAUACCUGAUGUGGUCUCCGGAUCAAAGGCUUGCCGCCUCGGGAGCAGGGAACGCCCUAUCAGGUUGUUGGUGAGGUAACGGCUCACCAAGCCGGAGACGGGUAGCGGGUGUGAGAGCAUGACCCGCCGCAUCGGGACUGAGACACUGCCCGGACUCCUACGGGAGGCUGCAGUAACGAAUCUUCCGCAAUGCGCGAAAGCGUGACGGAGCAAUGCCGCGUGCAGGAUGAAGCCCUUCGGGGUGUAAACUGCUGUCAGGGGCUACCAAGUUCUGAGGAACCCCAAAGGAAGGGCCGGCUAACUUCGUGCCAGCAGCCGCGGUAAUACGAAGGGCCCGAGCGUUAAUCAGAAUCACUGGGCUUAAAGCGUACGUAGGCGGAUGCGCAGGCAUCUUGUGAAAUACCUCCGCUCAACGGAGGAACUGCGAGGUGAACCGCGUGUCUUGAGUCAGGUAGGGGCUGUCGGAACGCUCGGUGGAGUGGUGAAAUGCGUUGAUAUCGAGCGGAACGCCGAAGGAGAAAUCAGACAGCUGGGCCUGUACUGACGCUGAGGUACGAAAGCGUGGGAGCGAACGGGAUUAGAUACCCCGGUAGUCCACGCCGUAAACGAUGUGCACUAGAUCGAGGGAGUUCUGACGCUGCUCUCGGUCGAAGCGAAAGUGGUAAGUGCACCGCCUGGGGAGUACGGUCGCAAGGCUAAAACUCAAAGGAAUUGACGGGGGCUCACACAAGCGGUGGAGCAUGUGGCUUAAUUCGAAACAACGCGAAGAACCUUAUCCUGGAUUUGACAUGCACGGAUUAGCUCGGUGAAAGUCGAGUGACGCUCUUGAGUGGAACGUGCACAGGUGCUGCAUGGCUGUCGUCAGCUCGUGCUGUGAAGUGUCGGGUUAAGUCCCUUAACGAGCGCAACCCCUAUCGCUAGUUGCCAGCGAGUCAUGUCGGGGACUCUAGCGAGACUGCCGGUGUCAAACCGGAGGAAGGUGGGGAUGACGUCAAGUCCGCAUGGCCUUUAUGUCCAGGGCUGCACACGUGCUACAAUGGCGGGUACAGAAC